rnacentral:misc_RNA from 1 species
GAUGAAGAACGUAGUGAAAUGCGAUAAGUAAUGUGAAUUGCAGAAUUCAGUGAAUCAUCGAAUCUUUGAACGCACCUUGCGCUCCUUGGUAUUCCGAGGAGCAUGCCUGUUUGAGUGUCAUGAAUCUCUCAAACUCUUAGUUUCAUUACUGAGUGUUUGGAUUUGGAGGUCUAUGCUGGCGCAAGUCAGCUCCUCUUAAAUACAUUAGCUUGGGUCUUGCAUGUCUGGAUCCUUGGUGUGAUAAUUAUCUACGCCAUGAUGUCCCUUCAAGCCCUGCUUCUAAUCGUCUGAAUAAGACAAUUUAUUACUUGACAUCUGACCUCAAAUCAGGUAGGACUACCCGCUGAACUUAAGCAUAUCAAUAAGCGGAGGA